GCCCUCUUAGCUCAGUCGGUAGAGCAACGGACUCUUAAUCCGUGUGUCGAAGGUUCGAGACCUUCAGGGGGUA
rnacentral:tRNA from 1 species